CCCCCUCUUGUGAACGACGGCAGUAAUUCUUCGUGUCAUCAUAUCCUUCGAUCGAGUCCCUUUGAGUGUCACUUAGCACCAUUCUAACACACGACUUUAUCAGCUCAAGGACGUAUUUGACCAACUGUUAAACAAGUGAAUAAUCUUACCGAGCAAAACCAAGGUCGUUAGUUAUCUUGGAUUUGGGAACUUGCUGUCUGGAGUAGCUGGAGUGGUCAUGGGUCGACUGGAGGGAUUUAUGUGUUUGAACUAUUGAUACAAUAUAUUGGUUUUGAAACAGUUAACUAUAUUUUCUUUUAUUUGCUUCCGCUGAACGUGUUGGUUUUCAUUCAAACUUAUUGACGGUACUUU